CUAAUACAUGCAAGUCGAGCGCAGGAAGCAAGACAGAUCCUCAUCUGAGGUGACGACUUGUGGAAUGAGCGGCGGAUGGGUGAGUAACACGUGGGCAACCUGCCUGUAAGCUUGGGAUAACUCCGGGAAACCGGUGCUAAUACCGAAUAAAACUUCUACUCGCAUGAGUGGAAGGUGAAAGGCGGCUUUUAGCUGUCACUUACAGAUGGGCCUGCGGCGCAUUGGCUAGUUGGUGGGGUAACUGCUUACCAAGGCGACGAUGCGUAGCCGACCUGAGAGGGUGAUCGGCCACACUGGGACUGAGACACGGCCCAGACUCCUACGGGAGGCAGCAGUAGGGAAUCUUCCGCAAUGGACGAAAGUCUGACGGAGCAAUGCCGCGUGAGUGAUGAAGGCCUUAGGGUCGUAAAACUCUGUUGUUAGGGAAGAAUAGGUAUCGGAGUAAUAUGCCGGUACUUUGACGGUACCUUACCAGAAAGCCCCGGCUAACUACGUGCCAGCAGCCGCGGUAAUACGUAGGGGGCGAGCGUUGUCCGGAAUUAUUGGGCGUAAAGGGCGCGCAGGCGGUUUCUUAAGUCUGAUGUGAAAUCUCGUGGCUUAACCACGAGCGGUCGUUGGAAACUGGGAAACUUGAGUACAGAAGAGGAGAGUGGAAUUCCACGUGUAGCGGUGAAAUGCGUAGAGAUGUGGAGGAACACCAGUGGCGAAGGCGGC
rnacentral:rRNA from 1 species